UUUUGCCACUUCGCUGAGCCAUAAUUUGGUAGAGGGCGCUUCCCUCCUUUUCCAAAACAACAAUAUUAAUUUUUUUGCCGAGAUGAGACUGUAAGAGAUGAGUUGUUUUUGGGAGUUGGUUAAUCCGUUUAGGGAGUCGGACACUCCCAGGAUUAUCAGAAGCGGGUCUGGGUCUAUUGAAGUCUCCAACUAAAAUAGAUUUCAAUGACAAGAAAUUGAAUUUGUUUACUUCCUGAACUGGGUGAAUAUAAAUGGGAUUAGCCCCAACCCUGCUACCUAACCUUGUUGCCUUCGGGAAAACACCUUUACGGUGUCCAUAUUAGGACAGCCUCAGUCUCGUCAGGAGGUGUGCCAGUCUUGUCAGGAGGUGUGCCAGUCUCAUCAGGAGGUGUGCCAGUCUCGUCAGGAGGUGUGCCAGUCUUGUCAGGAGGUGUGCCAGUCUCGUCAGGAGGUGUGCCAGUCUCGUCAGGAGGUGUGCCAGUCUCGUCAGGAGGUGUGUCUGUCCUAAUAUGGACACUGUAAAUCACUGUACAGUUUAAGCUAGCUUCAUACAGAGAAGUUUGUUCAACUCAACAACCGAUUAUUUUUCACUGUUCUAUCCUCUUGAUGAUCUUCUAAACUUGUCAGUCAACACUUUGUGGAUAAGAAGACCUCUCCAUGUAUUUAGUAUUGUCUUUUAACAGUGUGUUUAAUCUCAUUAUCUUUAUAAUUUAUGUACUUUGUUAUUUGUGUUUUGAGUGUGAUAAUUGUUAUUUUAAUUUGAUGGUCUACCUCAUCUGAGGCUUAACAAUCCGCUGUACUGUACACAUAUUAGUUUAGUCACCGUGAUGUUACACUCUAGCCUUCCCACUAUCCCACUACACCGCUACUAUAAAGCUAACAGCUGAAACUUACCUCAAGACUAACAUGCUAAAUGGAAUGGAUAGAACGUUGGUGACAAACAGUCCUUUAAAAGAAGCUAGUCAUCUUUUGUCGAUCAUUUUUGAAGGCCUAUACUUAGAAGGCGUUAAUCCACUCUUUGACCAUAUAGCAGAGGUUGUACAACAAGUUGAAUAUGUCUGAAGUGUAAUAUUUUCCAACAAUUAUUUUGACUUUACAGCAUUCUGUAAAAACAAUGUUGAUUUUACACUCUGAUUACCGUUACCUGCCUUAAAUCUGUACAACAAUAAUUUCUUACAUUUCAUGUGUUUUAUUUGCUUAUAAUGACCUACUCAGAUUACACAUUGGUGUGUCACAAAAUGUGAAUAGAAUACAAUAUCUUGCUGAUGUGAAGUUUCUAAAUUAAAAUAUUUGCUUUCUUGGUGCUCCUUGUGCAUUAUCGAUACAGGGAUGGAGAAAAGUAGCAUUGGUGAUUUUUAUCAUCAUUAUUUCUAGAAAGGUAGAAUUUACUGAAUAUGUCUAUGCAUGGUCAAUUCCUUAAUUAACUGUCACAUAUUUGCAUUAUAUGAAACUAUGUUUUGAAUACCAGAUUGUAUAUUAUUUAUGUCAAUAAACAGUUUCAAGAGCUUUUUAAGAGCAUAUUCAUAUUCUAUUCACUUCAUCAAGGUUAUGUUUUCUGAGAAGGUAUUGCAAAAAAAAUAUAUAGACAAGUUAUUCUGAGUAGUACUGCAGUACAUUUGAGUAUAAUGUUUAAAAAAUGUCCAGAGAGUUGGAAAUAUAUUUUAAAACCGACCGCGACAUUGCUUUAUUUGGAGUGAACAAAUUCAUAGGAAAAAAAAAAACAUUUGAGAAUUUAUUUGAAAUGUCUAGAUCCUCCUCCUAGAUAUUUGUACAAACUGAUGUCACCCUCAAAUAGUAUCAUCAUCAUCAUAUAAUAAAUAGAAACAACUGAGUUAUUUUUCUCCAUCUCUCCAAACCCUGUGAGGAUUACACAGAGAAAUAGAAUCAUAUUGGAAUUGCCAUUCUAGUUACUUCAUUUCUAUGGGUGACAUACUACUCAACAGUGAACAGAAUAUUGUGAAGGGAAUACUCCGUUUAUAUUCAAAAUAAUAAUCUCUCAGAAUCCUCCUCACACUGUACAAUGAGAACAAACCUCACAUUCAAUCAUUAGGAUAGUUAUUUUGUAGGAAAUAUAAUUAACCACAAUUCAAAACAAUUUACAGAGAUUUACAGCAUACAUGGAAGGUCAGUCAGAUUAAUCUGCUUUCCAUCCCUGUAUUUAGGAAGGAAAGCAGGGGGCUGGAAAUGCAGCAGUCACUUUCUGGACAAACUGACAGCACUGUUUUUCAGAAGGUUUAUCUUUGGUAUAUGAUAUUUCAAUAUAGAACAUGAUGCAGUACAUUAGAAAUAAAAAAUACACUUUGGGCUAAAGGCAAUCCUGGUAUUGCUUUAUGAUUUGCCUUUAUUGGGGAAGGGUUAGUGUGAUUUGAUGUUGAUGUGGACGGGGCCGCUGCUGAAAUCAACAUGUCGACUACAGCUGCUUCAGUGAGAGGAAAGGAGGAAAGGGAACAUUCAGCCAGGUGGUUAUUAAGGACAGGUGGUUUGACUGGUGGUUAUUAAGGACAGGUGGUUUGUCAGGUGGUUAUUAAGGACAGGUGUUUGUCAGGUGGUUAUUAAGGACAGGUGGUUUGUCAGGUGGUUAUUAAGGACAGGUGGUUUGACUGGUGGUUAUUAAGGAAAGGUGGUUUGACUGGUGGUUAUUAAGGACAUGCGGUUUGUCAGGAGGUUAUUAAGGACAGCUGGUUUGAUUGGUGGUUAAUAAGGACAGGUGCUUUGACUGGUGGUUAUUAAGGACAGGUGGUUUGACUGGUGGUUAAUAAGGACAGGUGGAUGUCAGGUGGUUAUUAAGGACAGGUGUUUUGACUGCUGGUUAUUAAGGACAGGUAGUUUGACUGGUGGUUAUUAAGGACAGGUGGUUUGACUGGUGGUUAUUAAGGACAGGUGUUUGACUGGUGGUUAUUAAGGACAGGUGGUUUGUCAGGUGGUUAUUAAGGAAAGGUGGUUUGUCAGGUGGUUAUUAAGGACAUGCGGUUUGUCAGGAGGUUAUUAAGGACAGCUGGUUUGAUUGGUGGUUAAUAAGGACAGGUGCUUUGACUGGUGGUUAUUAAGGACAGGUGGUUUGACUGGUGGUUAAUAAGGACAGGUGGAUGUCAGGUGGUUAUUAAGGACAGGUGGUUUGACUGCUGGUUAUUAAGGACAGGUAGUUUGACUGGUGGUUAUUAAGGACAGGUGGUUUGACUGGUGGUUAUUAAGGACAGGUGGUUUGUCUGGUGGUUAUUAAGGACAGGUGGAAGGUCUGGUGGUUAUUAAGGACAGGUGAUUUGUCUGGUGGUUAUUAAGGACAGGUGGAUGGUCUGAUGG